AGAAGCCAGGGACGGAGAGGAGGCGCUGGUAGAUCCGACGAACAGGCGAAGACUGCUAGCGCUCGGCCAUCUGGUGACAACACCACGUACGGCCGGACGCCAGCGAGAAGCUGAGACGUAAAGGUUCAUCAAGUUUCAUCAACACCAAUUCCAUGGCUUCAGCUAACGACUACAGUACAAGAGGAUCGACGUGUUAUGGCACCCGCCCGACGCGGGGCGCCGUCUUCAUUGACAACCCGCCGACGUCCACCCGAGUGCCACCAUGCGCGACGGUGCGGACGUGGGCGACGUCUACACAAUGGCCGCUCCACGCGGAGCAUUACCUUGAUGAACAGGUCGAGCCGACGUACAGGUUGCCGCAGCACGAGAGGCGGUCACUCGAACGCUAUCGUCAUCAUCAGUAGGUUGUUCGUGCUGCAGGUCUUCUCCAAUUAAUCACUCCCGCGGGAUGGAUUCCCCGCGUCCCCGACGAAGCUGCCGAAUCGUCGGCAUGUAGCGGCAUCAUGCGUUUACACCAACUCCACUUUUAGGUCGUCGAGACCGACGAGGCUCGGCAACAGGGUGGGCGUGGCCACGGCUAAGGCCACGCUCAACGGCGCGUGUACUGUCUUGUACACGGGUUCUGCCGGCACCCACACCAUCACCACCCAUACAUGCAUAGGUGACGCGAAGCAAAGACAUGAAGACGACCACAACAGCUUAAUCGGAGGUUUCUUGCGGGUUUAACCCCGCGGGAGUAAUUAAGCGGGAGCCUUCCGAGGCCCCGUGAACCAGGAGAUGACCACAAUCGCCUUGUCAAUCAAGCCGUGCAAGCAGGCCACGGAGCGCACGAGGAAUUGUAUUUUGUAAUCUCAAACAGAUUAUUAAAAUAUACGAUUCCUCCCCU